rnacentral:rRNA from 1 species
AGAGUUUGACCUGGCUCAGAUUGAACGCUGGCGGCGUGCUUAACACAUGCAAGUCGAACGCGAAAGGGGGCUUCGGCUCCCGAGUAGAGUGGCGCACGGGUGAGUAACGCGUGGAUAAUCUGCCCUCUUGUUCGGGAUAACUGCUGGAAACGGCAGCUAAUACCGGAUAAGCUCCACCAAUUGUAUGGUGGAGGAAAGGAGGCCUCUUCAUGAAAGCUUCCGCGAGGGGAUGAGUCCGCGUCCCAUUAGCUAGUUGGUGAGGUAACGGCCCACCAAGGCAACGAUGGGUAGCCGGUCUAAGAGGAUGACCGGCCACACUGGAACUGAAACACGGUCCAGACUCCUACGGGAGGCAGCAGUGGGGAAUAUUGCGCAAUGGACGAAAGUCUGACGCAGCGACGCCGCGUGAGGGAUGAAGGUUUUCGGAUCGUAAACCUCUGUCAGGAGGGAAGAAAGCGCAUGGCGCCAAUCAGCCAUGCGUUGACGGUACCUCCAAAGGAAGCGCCGGCUAACUCCGUGCCAGCAGCCGCGGUAAUACGGAGGGCGCGAGCGUUAAUCGGAAUUACUGGGCGUAAAGCGCGCGUAGGCUGUUGUGUAAGUUGGGGGUGAAAUCCCACGGCUCAACCGUGGAACAGCCCUUGAUACUGCGCGACUUGAAUCCGGGAGAGGGUGGCGGAAUUCCAGGUGUAGGAGUGAAAUCCGUAGAUAUCUGGAGGAACAUCAGUGGCGAAGGCGGCCACCUGGACCGGUAUUGACGCUGAGGCGCGAAAGCGUGGGGAGCAAACAGGAUUAGAUACCCUGGUAGUCCACGCUGUAAAC